rnacentral:tRNA from 1 species
GGGGAUUUAGCUCAGUGGCAGAGCGCUUGCCUAGGAAGCGUAAGGCCCUGGGUUCGGUCCCCAGCUCCG